rnacentral:rRNA from 1 species
AUUGAACGCUGGCGGCAGGCCUAACACAUGCAAGUCGAGCGGAGCGGCGGACGGGUGAGUAAUGCCUAGGUAUCUGCCUGGUAGUGGGGGAUAACGUCCGGAAAUGGGCGCUAAUACCGCAUACUAUCAGAUGAGCCUAGGUCGGAUUAGCUAGUUGGUGGGGUAAAGGCCUACCAAGGCGACGAUCCGUAACUGGUCUGCGAGGAUGAUUAGUCACACUGGAACUGGGGCACGGUCCAGGCUCCUGCGGGAGGCAGCAGUGGGGAAUAUUGGACAAUGGGCGAAAGCCUGAUCGAGCCGUGCCGGGUGUGUGAAGGAGGUCUUCGGAUUGUAAAGCACUUUAAGUUGGGAGGCGGUACCAACAGAAUAAACACCGGCUAACUUCGGGCCAGCAGGCGCGGUAAUAC